CUCCACACUCAGUAUUCUUCCAUUUGAGAAAGAGCAGAAAAGUCCAUGGCGUGCUUCUAAAAUGAUUAAUUUCUUUAAUUCCAGUUCCACUACCACCAUCAUCUACAAUCUAAUUUCAGCUGGUAUCCACUCUGUCCUGUAAAGCACUCCUGAGUACCUCCUCUUUCUCUGAAGACUGAGGAACAAAACUUUCAAGUUUCAUCUUCUUUGUAUGUCUAUAUAAACUUAAGUCUCCAGAGACUAUGGCUGAUGAAAGGACUCUGCUAAGAUGUUUGCCGCUAAUAGACACUUUCCUGGGCUAUGUUAUGAAAAAUUAGGUUUAUGUUGUUAUAGCCAUUGGGCAGUCGUGAAAAAAGGCUGCAAGUGAUGAACUGAGACAGAGGGGGAAGAGACUAAUGUUUUAAACACCUUUUUUUAUUCUGUUUUUUUUUUUUGCUAAAAUUUGUUUAAUUAAAUAG